rnacentral:rRNA from 1 species
ACACAUGCAAGUCGAGCGGAGACAGUGAGUAGCUUGCUAUGAGCUGUUUUAGCGGCGGACGGGUGAGUAACGCGUGAGCAACCUUUCCCAGACAGGGGAAUAACACACCGAAAGGUGUACUAAUACCGCAUAAGACCACGGGAUCACAUGGUUCUGAGGUAAAAGAUUUAUCGGUUUGGGGUGGGCUCGCGUCCGAUUAGGUAGUUGGUGAGGUAACGGCCCACCAAGCCGACGAUCGGUAGCCGACCUGAGAGGGUGAUCGGCCACAUUGGGACUGAGACACGGCCCAAACUCCUACGGGAGGCAGCAGUGGGGAAUAUUGGGCAAUGGAGGAAACUCUGACCCAGCAACGCCGCGUGGAGGAAGAAGGUUUUCGGAUCGUAAACUCCUGUCCUUGGAGACGAGUAGAAGACGGUAUCCAAGGAGGAAGCCCCGGCUAACUACGUGCCAGCAGCCGCGGUAAUACGUAGGGGGCAAGCGUUGUCCGGAAUAAUUGGGCGUAAAGGGCGCGUAGGCGGCUCGGUAAGUCUGGAGUGAAAGUCCUGCUUUUAAGGUGGGAAUUGCUUUGGAUACUGUCGGGCUUGAGUGCAGGGGAGGUUAGUGGAAUUCCCAGUGUAGCGGUGAAAUGCGUAGAGAUUGGGAGGAACACCAGUGGCGAAGGCGACUAACUGGACUGUAACUGACGCUGAGGCGCGAAAGUGUGGGGAGCAAACAGGAUUAGAUACCCUGG